GCAAAGGAGCUGGGGUUCUGCGAAGAAAUCUAGAUCCCAGGAGAACAAGCAUGUGCCAAGACACGAAAUCGCAUGAAAAAUCAUGAAAUUGCCAAUAAAAGUCUAUGCGCAGAGCAGAAUGCAUGUGGGGAAGUAGCAGGAGGACUGAUGAUCGCACCUGCUUCAUGGGAUAUAAAUGAGACAGUAUGGGGGAAAUUGCUUGGAACAGCACACGGAAUGAUAUGUGAACAACCACUUUUUAGAAACUAGAACACCAUGGGGCUCC